rnacentral:rRNA from 1 species
AACGAACGCUGGCGGCGCGCCUAAUACAUGCAAGUCGAACGAGAAGCUGUAGCAAUACAGUUGUACAGUGGCGAACGGGUGAGGAAUACAUGGGUGACCUACCCUCGAGUGGGGAAUAACCAGCCGAAAGGUUGGCUAAUACCGCGUACGCUUCCCAGUCUACGGGUUGGGAAGGAAAGCGAUGCCGUGGGUAUCGCGCUCAAGGUUGGGCUCAUGUCCUAUCAGCUUGUUGGGGGGUAACGGCGUCACCAAGGCAACGACGGGUAGCUGGUCUGAGAGGACGAUCAGCCACACUGGCACUGCGACACGGGCCAGACUCCUACGGGAGGCAGCAGUAAGGAAUAAUUGCGCAAUGGGCGAAAGCCUGACGCAGCGACGCCGCGUGGGGGAUGAA